UACAGGCCUAACACAUGCAAGUCGAACGGGGAUUUUGUUUCGGCAGAAUCCUAGUGGCGAACGGGUGAGUAACGCGUAGGCAACCUGCCCCCCGGCCGGGGACAACACGCCGAAAGGUGUGCUAAUACCGGAUACGAAGCGAGCACCGCAUGGUGCUUGUUUGAAAGACGGCCUCUAUUUAUAAGCUGUCGCCGGGGGAUGGGCCUGCGUCCGAUUAGCUGGUUGGCGGGGUAACGGCCCACCAAGGCGACGAUCGGUAGCCGGUCUGAGAGGAUGGACGGCCACAUUGGGACUGAGACACGGCCCAGACUCCUACGGGAGGCAGCAGUGGGGAAUAUUGGUCAAUGGGCGAGAGCCUGAACCAGCCAAGUAGCGUGCAGGAUGACUGCCCUAUGGGUUGUAAACUGCUUUUAUAGGGGAAUAAAGUGAGGUAUGUAUACCUUUUUGUAUGUACCCUAUGAAUAAGGACCGGCUAAUUCCGUGCCAGCAGCCGCGGUAAUACGGAAGGUCCGGGCGUUAUCCGGAUUYAYUGGSUUUAAAGGGAGCGCAGGCCGAUGGUUAAGCGUGACGUGAAAUGUAGCCGCUCAACGGCUGAAGUGCGUCGCGAACUGGCUAUCUYGAGUGAGUUCGAUGUGGCGGAAUUCGUGGUGUAGCGGUGAAAUGCUAGAWAUCACGAAAACUCCGAUGCGAAGGCAGCCCCAAGGCCUUUACUGACGCUAAGCUCGAAGGUGCGGGUAUCGAACAGGAUUAGAUACCCUGGUAGUCCGCACGGUAAACGAUGGAUGCCCGCUGUUUGCGAUAUACUGUGAGCGGCCAAGAGAAAUCGUURAGCAUCCCACCUGGGGAGUACGCCGGCAACGGUGAAACUCAAAGGAAUUGACGGGGGCCCGCACAAGCGGAGGAACAUGUGGUUUAAUUCGAUGAUACGCGAGGAACCUUACCCGGGCUUGAACUGCAGCAGAACGAUUCAGAGAUGAUGAGGCCMUUCGGGGCUGCUGUGGAGGUGCUGCAUGGUUGUCGUCAGCUCGUGCCGUGAGGUGUCGGCUUAAGUGCCAUAACGAGCGCAACCCUUUUCUUUAGUUGCCAUCAGGUARUGCUGGGCACUCUGGAGAUACUGCCACCGUAAGGUGUGAGGAAGGUGGGGAWGACGUCAAAUCAGCACGGCCCUUACGUCCGGGGCUACACACGUGUUACAAUGGGGGGUACAGAGAGUCGGAUAUACGCAAGUAUGUUCUAAUCCUUAAAGCCUUCCUCAGUUCGGAUUGGGGUMUGCACCCGACCCCAUGAAGCUGGAUUCGCUAGUAAUCGCGCAUCAGCCAUGGCGCGGUGAAUACGUUCCCGGGCCUUGUACACACCGCCYUARUYUK
rnacentral:rRNA from 1 species